CACGUAGGGCGCAAGCGUUGUCCGGAAUUAUUGGGCGUAAAGAGCUCGUAGGUGGUUUGUCGCGUUGUCCGUGAAAACUCACAGCUUAACUGUGGGCGUGCGGGCGAUACGGGCAGACUGGAGUACUGCAGGGGAGACUGGAAUUCCUGGUGUAGCGGUGGAAUGCGCAGAUAUCAGGAGGAACACCGGUGGCGAAGGCGGGUCUCUGGGCAGUAACUGACGCUGAGGAGCGAAAGCGUGGGGAGCGAACAGG
rnacentral:rRNA from 1 species